rnacentral:rRNA from 1 species
UACGUAGGGGGCUAGCGUUGUCCGGAAUCAUUGGGCGUAAAGAGCGUGUAGGCGGCCCGGUAAGUCCGCUGUGAAAGUCGGGGGCUCAACCCUCGAAUGCCGGUGGAUACUGUCGGGCUAGAGUGCGGAAGAGGCGAGUGGAAUUCCCAGUGUAGUGGUGAAAUACGUAGAGAUUGGGAAGAACACCAGUGGCGAAGGCGGCUAUCUGGACGGUUUCUGACACUAAGACUCGAAAGCGUGGGGAGCAAACAGG